GAUCAUGGCUCAGAUUGAACGCUGGCGGCAUGCCUUACACAUGCAGGUCGAACGGCAGCACGGGAGCUUGCUCCGUGGUGGCGAGUGGCGAACGGGUGAGUAAUACAUCGGAACGUACCCUGAAGUGGGGGAUAACGUAGCGAAAAGUUACGCUAAUACCGCAUAUUCUGUGAGCAGGAAAGAGGGGGAUCGCAAGACCUCUUGCUUUAGGAGCGGCCGAUGUCGGAUUAGCUAGUUGGUGAGGUAAAGGCUCACCAAGGCGACGAUCCGUAGCGGGGUCUGAGAGGAUGAUCCGCCACACUGGGACUGAGACACGGCCCAGACUCCUACGGGAGGCAGCAGUGGGAAUUUUGGACAAUGGGCGCAAGCCUGAUCCAGCCAUGCCGCGUGAGUGAAGAAGGCCUUCGGGUUGUAAAGCUCUUUCGGUGGGGAAGAAAUUGCUUCGGUUAAUACCUGGAGUAGAUGACGGUACCCGCAUAAGAAGCACCGGCUAACUACGUG
rnacentral:rRNA from 1 species